CUGGUACCGAACCCACUCAGAGUAACAGUUGAUGGCUAACUUAAUGCACUGUUUCCGGUUGGUCAAAAAGUCAAUUACCCAGUAUGCGACACCACAGGGAAUUGAUAUAGGUUGAAAAUUUUUUGGACAGAACAAGGUUGUGGUCAGUUAAAUCGGAUGCUUUUUCAUAAUCGAACAGAAACUGCGGCACCAGCUGAUCCCUCUGUAGCUUUCAGCCAGUGGUGAACCAUAGACACUAGGGUAUGAGUUGUAGAGGAAUUUGGUAUACAACCAUAUGCUUGGUUUUCAUAUCACAUCACGGGGGCCAACUCUAAAACAAAACACAGUUAUCAGAGUGAGUCGAUUGUUCGUUUUAUGUAUUUGGUGGCAAAUACAUGGAAUUUCAUAUAAUUUUCUUACUCCAGUACAGCAUAAGCAUCAAUACAUUCGAGGUUGACCCCCCGUCAGAUUCACUACAUAAUGCU